rnacentral:rRNA from 1 species
AUUGAACGCUGGCGGCAGGCCUAACACAUGCAAGUCGAACGAGUGGCGGACGGGUGAGUAAUGUCUGGGAAACUGCCCGAUGGAGGGGGAUAACUACUGGAAACGGUAGCUAAUACCGCAUACCAUCGGAUGUGCCCAGAUGGGAUUAGCUAGUAGGUGGGGUAACGGCUCUCCUAGGCGACGAUCCCUAGCUGGUCGGAGAGGAUGACCAGACACACUGGAACGGAGACACGGUCCAGACUCCUACGGUAGGCAGCAGUGGGGAAUAUGGCACAAUGGGAGCAAGCCGGAUGCAGCCAGGCCGCGUGUAUGAUGAAGGCCUUAGGGUUGUAAAGUACUUUCAGCGAGGAGGCGUUACUCGCAGAAGAAGCACCGGCUAACUCCGUGCCAGCAGCCGCGGGAAUAC